ensembl:lncRNA
GGGCUUUGAGGUUUCAAAAUCCCAAGCCAGGCCCCAUGCUGCUCUCUUCCUGUUGCCUGAGGAUUUGGUGCGGAACUCUCUGCUACCUCUACAGCACCGUGUCUCCUGCAUGCUGAUGCGUCAUGCCAUGAAGAUAAUGGACUAAACCUCUGAAACUGAAUGUGGCAUUUGGAUUGUGUCUGAGGACAGUGAUGGCCCCAGUGGUGCAUGAAUGAAGCCGGCCAGGCCUCAUAACUUCAAAUUUCUCCAGUCAUUGCCACAAGGUCAAGGUGGCACACUGCUGAUGACACCAAGGCCUUGAAAAGACUUGUGCCACCAGGCAACUUCCCUGUCCUGGAAUUGCAGAUACCUAGGAUGAGUCAAACUGAAGGUACUGGUGGUGGUUCUACAACACACACACACACACACACACACACACACACACACACACACACACACACACAGAGAGAGAGAGAGAGAGAGAGAGAGAGAGAGAGAGAGGAGAGGAGAGACAGAGAGAGAGAGAGGAGAGACACAGAGAGAGGAGAGACAGAGAGAGAGGAGAGAGACAGAGGAGAGAGACAGAGGAGAGAGAAAGGAGAGAGAGAGGAGAGACAGAGAGAGAGGAGAGAGAGGAGAUAGAGAGAGAGAGGAGAGAAAGGAAAGAGAGAGAGAGAGAGAGAGAGAGAGAGAGAGAGAGAGAGAGAGAGAGCCUGCUUGAGAGUGUUCUCUUAGAACACUGGAUCCAAAAAUGGAGAGAUGCAUACUCUUGACCAUGUAAGUUAAUGCCUAAAUCAAACCAUGCCUAAAGUUCUCUCCACCUCUGCUCAGGAAAGCCUUCAGCUGCAUUCUGCAGGGCAGUAGAGAAAGAGCAAGAGGAGGCUUGUGUGUCUGUGCAGGAGGAAGAUGAAAGAGCAAGACAUUCCAAACCAGCACUAUGCUGCCCUGAGGGGUUAGUCUAAGAAUAGUUUUGUAUUUGUUUGUGUAUGGAAUUUCAAACUACAGUUUUGUUCCUAAGAAUAUUGAAACCAACAAUUCUUUGGACCUCACUGACCAAAUGCUUGUGUUCUUCCAGAAGUUGAAUCCUUCUCUCUUGGCUGUAUUUACACCCCAGGCACACAAUCAUUGAAUGCACUUCACACUCUUCUCCUCUCUGGUAGACAUUCAAGGGGUGAUAAAUUGGGCAUUUCUGAGUGUCAGUCAGUUCAUGUGGUCAACAAACAUCAGAUUCAGUAAAUAUUUAUUGAACACAAAGAAGUGCUGUGAUCUAUCUUAUAACAUUUAGGAAGUUGUCUGGUCCUGGAGGAGGAAGCUACUUAUUUUUUUAUUGGAUAUCAUCAUCACAAAGGUCAUAGGGGAAGUUGUAGGCAGAAUCAGAAACUCGAUCUCUAACAAACACAGCUUUCUCCUAAAGAGCCCAAGUUAAAACAGAGACUAGAUUUGAAAUGUAUUUGAAAAUUAGUCAACUUUCCCACAAUUCUGUCUUCUACCCAUAACAUGUUAAAUGUUCUACCUUCCAGUGCCAUAUGUGUGUUACAAUUGUUGUUGUUGUUGUUUUUCCCCCGAGACAGGGUUUCUCUGUGGCUUUGGUAGCUGUCCUCGAACUAGCUCUUGUAGACCAGGCUGACCUCAAACUCACAGAGAUCCGCCUGCCUCUCAUAUGCCUGUUAUGAUUAAUGAGUUGUUAGGCACACUAGCACCAAGUUAACUCUGAACAUUUCCUUCUCCUUCAAUAAAGAAAUAUCCAGGUCCAAUCAGCCAUGAUACUUUCACAUAAAAGAGGCCUCUGUGCUGCUUUAACCCCUCCCAGUGCACAUAGAGAAUAGAACUGGAGACAGAACCCAGAUUUUCAGGUAUGCUAAGCCUGAGCUAACUGCUCAGCCCCAAGCACUGAUUUAUAUACAUAGACACUCUUCCCUGUAAAACACAUGAUGCUUCAAAUCAUAAUAUGUAGUCAUUUCAUUAUUGAUGGGGCAGAAGAGAGCAAAGGUCAAUUACUGUGAAUUCUAGGAUGCAGAGGAAAGAUGAAGGGGAGAGGUAGAGAGACAAAUGCUAACAUUUCCUCAUUCAUCUGAGUACAGUUGUCAUUCACCAAGUCAACAAGUAUACAUACCAGACACUGUUCCAGAGGCUAGAGGUCCAGUGUGAGCAACAUGGCCCAAUUGUGGGAGAGGGCCCGAGAACUGAUAGUUCCAUUCUCCCCCUCCUGCCCUCCUGCCCUGCUGCCCUUUGUGGCACUUAGCCUUGGUGUAAUAGUUCAUAGCAGGGCACAGAAAAUUAUGUUUUGGAGCAGCUAAGCUGUGGGUGACUUUACAUUUUGGAAGAGGCCCUUUGUAGCCUGAAAACCUGGAAUGUUUUCCAUUUGACUCUUCAUAGAACAUAUGCAGACUUCUGGUCCAGAGAUCUACGCCAUUCCCCAGAGCCAGAAUGAACAGUUAAAUACUCUAGCUGUUAGAGCCUUUUCUCCUAUUAAUCUUUUGCUAUUUGUGUGAAGCAAAAUUAUUAUAUCCUACAAUGUGACCGAGACCAGGUAGAUAGGCUGUUUAUAUUAAUUUCCUUGAAUAAUGAUUUCAGCUAUUUUUUAAGCCUUUGAUUAUUUGUUACUUUGUUUUCCUAGCCUAUAACCUCUACAUAUUGCUGCUACUCUCCAGUCAGAAUUUUUUCCAUUUCUCUUUUUUUCUGAAACCUAAGUGGGCAUCAGGAAAGUGACAUUCAUAAGUGACUCACCAGGGAAGAAGAGACGCACAUUGGCUGCUGCUGCCUUUGAUAACGACUAUUUCUCAUCUACAUCCUGCUGUGUGUUCUGCUGUGUGUUCUUCAUGGGGUCCACUUGUUGGAGUAAGAGGUCUAAAAUUCGCCAGCCCUUCUCCCUGGGUAGAGCACUCUCUUGCCUCCUUACCUUCUUGAUGGGGCAGACUUCUGCUUGCUCAGUAAGAAUCUCUGGCCAGGGCAAACUUUUUUGGUGGUUUGGUGACUUCCACUCCUAAGAUUAAUUUUGAGCUGUGGAACUGAAGAAUAUUCCUUCUCCUAUAGAGCUGUUCCAGGUAACACUGUCACCGCUAUUCACUUUGAAUUUGUGUAUGUUGUCCUGGUGUCAUUCUAUGUGGGUGGAGAAGUCCCUACCCAGCCACAAUCACAUCCUCAAAUUGGUCUAACUUCAGCUAAGAGUGGAGUGCCCUGGACCAGGCAUCAGCUGGCUCUUCUAAAGAUUCUUGUGAGACCUAGGCCACCUGCUCAGUUUCCCAGUGCCUACAUCUCUACAUCUAUAACAUAAAGACAAUUCAAACUUUGAUUUCAGCUUCUGGGAAUAAAAUUGAACUGUGUAUGAACAUUGAUGUUCCCAUGGCAACAGUCAUGUCAGGUAUCUAGUAUGCCACUGGAACAAUACAUUAUUUGUAAUAAGUACUUGUAGAGUCUCCUGACACAGAAGAAAAGACUCUUACAGGAAACCUGGAGGGUUUACUUCUACAUUAAUUUGCAUUCAUUAUCUCAGGAGACUUCAUCAUGCUUCUCCAAACUAUCUGGUUCUCAAUUUGCAGAAUAAAAUGAAUUAGUACACCCUGGAGCCAUUGAAUCCACAAGCAAUAUGAAUGCAGCUAUGGUUAGAAUAAAGAGAAAGAGACUGGCCUCCUGCUAACAUCACAGGGGAGUCCCUGGGAAUGGUUGAUGAGGGUGGAAAGGGUUCCAACUCAGCCAACUGAAGGGAACAGAAAUGUCAGGUCUACAAAACAACUUAUUGAAAUGUCAUUAUCAUUAUUAUUUAUGGAAAAUGUAAGUCUACAAAAGGACAAAAUAGUAAUCAGGUCACUUACACAUAGACAAUAUUAACAUUUUGAUAUCAAGUCUUCCCAUCUUUUUUUCUAGAUACUCUAUUCUAAAACUACAUUCUCAUUUUUGAUCAUUUUUACAAGUCAUUUUAUAUUAUAGAAAGUAACUUGCAGAGUGUGUCAUCAGAAGGACAUAGCAAUUCGUGUAACUAAUUCACAAUUACUCAAAAUUUAGAUUGUGCCUUGAGUUUUCUGUUAAUUAAAAUCAAUUCAUUUAUUGCCUUAAGGUCUGAAAUUAAUUUCACUGGAACUUUGUCAUCCAUCCAUAUCAUCACUGGCAAUGUGGCAUUCUCUCCCUUAGAAAGAUCUCUGUGGGUGAACUAGAGUGAAUGCCCCAAACCUUGGCAAGAAAUUCCCAUAUUCUCAGAAGGGAAGGCUUUUGUCUGGAUUGUAUUUUACCAUUUUCUCUGGUCUCUUAUAUGAGACUUUUGCCUAAAAUGUCAUUCCCCUUUCCCAGAUUUGUGGAAAAUAUGUUUUUUUUUUUUGCUUUUGAAUUCUUCCUCUGACCAAGACACUGGUCUCUUCAUUUUAAUGCUUUACCUUCUCUUUUGAUGAAGGUUUAUUUCCUUAACCCAGCCAGUCAAACAAUUUUUAGUACCAAAAUCCCAUUUGAAAUUCAGAGGAUGCCAGAGUUCGUG